rnacentral:rRNA from 1 species
GUGGGGAAUAUUGCACAAUGGGGGAAACCCUGAUGCAGCGACGCCGCGUGAGUGAGGAAGUAUUUCGGUAUGUAAAGCUCUAUCAGCAGGGAAGAAAAAAGACGGUACCUGACCAAGAAGCCCCGGCUAACUACGUGCCAGCAGCCGCGGUAAUACGUAGGGGGCAAGCGUUAUCCGGAUUUACUGGGUGUAAAGGGAGCGUAGACGGAAUAGCAAGUCUGAUGUGAAAACCCGGGGCUCAACCCCGGGAGUGCAUUGGAAACUGUUGAUCUAGAGUGUCGGAGAGGCAAGUGGAAUUCCUAGUGUAGCGGUGAAAUGCGUAGAUAUUAGGAGGAACACCAGUGGCGAAGGCGGCUUGCUGGACGAUGACUGACGUUGAGGCUCGAAAGCGUGGGGAGCAAACAGGA